rnacentral:rRNA from 1 species
CCUACGGGCGGCAGCAGUGGGGAAUAUUGGACAAUGGGGGGAACCCUGAUCCAGCCAUGCCGCGUGUGUGAAGAAGGCCCUCGGGUUGUAAAGCACUUUCAGUGAGGAAGAACGCCUGGUGGUUAAUACCCAUCAGGAAAGACAUCACUCACAGAAGAAGCACCGGCUAACUCCGUGCCAGCAGCCGCGGUAAUACGGAGGGUGCGAGCGUUAAUCGGAAUUACUGGGCGUAAAGCGCGCGUAGGUGGCUUGAUAAGCCGGUUGUGAAAGCCCCGGGCUCAACCUGGGAACGGCAUCCGGAACUGUCAAGCUAGAGUGCAGGAGAGGAAAGUAGAAUUCCCGGUGUAGCGGUGAAAUGCGUAGAGAUCGGGAGGAAUACCAGUGGCGAAGGCGGCCUUCUGGACUGACACUGACACUGAGGUGCGAAAGCGUGGGUAGCAAACAGGAUUAGAUACCCUGGUAGUC